GCAAUGGUUCGUCCAUCUAUACGAUAACCACUCAUACUUGCAAUUGCAUUGUUAGCCAUUUGGACAUCCUGAUACUUCACAAAACCAUAACCUUUGCUCACUCCAGUAACGCGAUCUUUAAUGACCUUAGCCAUGACAAUAUCACCAAAAGGUGAAAAUAAUCCAAUCAAACCGUCAUCAUCAAGAUUAGGUGGCAAAUACCCAAUAUACAAAUUGGUAUCAUCAAACUCUUUGAUAGGCUUGACUACAUUUGCUCCUAGUCCCGGUUGGUUUGCACUGCCAAGACCCCCAGCAUUACUAGCCCAAGAAGGAUUGCUUCCAGAACCACCUGAACCCAAAGCUAAGGUAGAGGUUUGCUUAGUUGAGGAUUCUGGUAUAGUCCCUCCUAACUCAGCCAAAAAGUUCUGAUAUUCAUCAUCCAUUUUCUUCCC
rnacentral:misc_RNA from 1 species